rnacentral:lncRNA from 1 species
CGUCCGAUCAAUGGUCGGUCCAGAUAUUGCCACAUAUCGUCAUCUGGUAGAUCUUCGAUUUGACCGUCUUCAUCUCGACCGUUAAGGGAUCCUAUAUACAGGGUCACUCUCAGCCAAAUUUUUAUUUUUUACUAUUUUUGAUGCUGGGACUCUGUCGGAUUGUUGCCCCAACGCCCAAGGUUAUCAUUCCCAACUUUCAGGUUAACUUCGACUUUCUUUCGAGUCCUUUCCUCUAAAGUCUCUGUCGUCUUCAGAGUUAUUCUCAUGGCUAGGGCUUCUCCUUCUCGGGA